GGGCGUGUAGCUCAGUUGGUUAGAGCGCUGUCCUGAUAAGACAGAGGUCUUUGGUUCGAGUCCAAACAUGCCCA
rnacentral:tRNA from 1 species